rnacentral:rRNA from 1 species
UACGUAGGGUGCGAGCGUUAAUCGGAAUUACUGGGCGUAAAGCGUGCGUAGGCGGUUCGUUAAGUGCGUCGUGAAAGCCCCGGGCUCAACCUUUGAAUGCCGCUGGAAACUGUCUGGCUAGAGUCCGGAAGGGGCGAGUGGAACUCCUGGUGUAGCGGUGAAAUGCGCAGAUAUCAGGAAGAACACCAAUGGCGAAGGCAGCUCGCUAGGACGGUACUGACACUGAGGCUCGAAAGCGUGGGGAGCAAACAGG